rnacentral:misc_RNA from 1 species
CUGAGUUUUUAACUCCAAACCACUGUGAACUUACCACUGUUGCCUCGGCGGCAGCCUUCUGUAAAAGGAUGGCGACCGCCGGUGGACUACUAAACUAUUGUUAAUUUUUGUCAAUCUGAAUAAAAAACUUAAUAAGUUA